rnacentral:sRNA from 1 species
ACUUACCCACUCUAAAAGAUAGAUCUUGCUUUCCUCGAUGGAGUUAUUAGUGUUCGAUCGACCAGCGACAGUCUCUAAUGCGACCACCCCGAAUGCAUAAACAUCAACCUUUUCAGUCAAAUGACGUCUCAUUGCAUACUCAGGAGCCAGAUAACCACUUGACAAAAGGUUAGACAAGUUUUAGUUAGCUUUCAUUUUAGAGGACAACCACAAGAGAAAUGGUGAAAUGUGCUUACAAUGUGCCCGCAAUCCCCGUGCUGACAUGAGUCUUCUUCUCAUCAUAGAGCCUAGCGAGUCCAAAGUCUGAUAUCUUUGGGGUGAGGUCGGUGUCAAGUAGGACAUUGCUGGCCUUGAUGUCCCUAUGCACAAUGCGCACACUUGACUCCUCAUGAAGAUAAGUUAGUCCUCUUGCGAUUCCUAAAAUGAUCUCGAAGCGAGUUGCCCAGUCCAGUUUUAAGCUAUUCUUCCCUGUACAAGCAGAAAUGA